GAUGAAGAACGUAGCGAAAUGCGAUACUUGGUGUGAAUUGCAGAAUCCCGUGAACCAUCGAGUCUUUGAACGCAAGUUGCGCCCGAAGCUACUAGGCCGAGGGCACGCCUGCCUGGGCGUCACACGCCGUUGCCCCCCCAUCUACUCCUUCGGGAUUGCGGGGGGGCGGAUGAUGGCCUCCCGUGCGCCUAGCCGCGCGGUUGGCAUAAAUACCAAGUCCUCGGCGACGCACGCCACGACAAUCGGUGGUUGCGAAACCUCGGUUGCCCGUCGUGUGCGUUCGUCGCGCAUCGAGGGCUCGAAAAAAUGCUCGGCUCCGGCUGGGCUUUCAACGCGACACCAGGUCAGGCGGGGUUACCCGCUGAAUUUAAGCAUAUCAAUAAGCGGAGGA
rnacentral:misc_RNA from 1 species